rnacentral:rRNA from 1 species
AUUAGAGGCGAACGGGUGAGUAACACGUAUCCAAUCUGCCUUAUAGUGGGGGAUAACUAGUCGAAAGAUUAGCUAAUACCGCAUAACAAGUUAACUAUCGCAUGAGAAUAACUUUAAAGAAGCAACUGCUUCGCUAUAAGAUGAGGGUGCGGCAUAUCAGCUAGUUGGUGAGGNUAAUGGCCCACCAAGGCGAUGACGUGUAGUUAUGCUGAGAGGUAGAAUAACCACAAUGGGACUGAGACACGGCCCAUACUCCUACGGGAGGCAGCAGUAGGGAAUUUUUCACAAUGGACGAAAGUCUGAUGGAGCAAUGCCGCGUGAACGAUGAAGGUCUUUUUAGAUUGUAAAGUUCUUUUAUUUGGGAAGAACAGUUAAUAGAGUGGAAAGCUAUUAAUUUGACUGUACCAUUUGAAUAAGUAACGACUAACUAUGUGCCAGCAGUCGCGGUAAUACAUAGGUUGCAAGCGUUAUCCGGAUUUAUUGGGCGUAAAACAAGCGCAGGCGGAUUAGAAAGUCUGGUGUUAAAAGCAAUUGCUUAACGAUUGUAUGCAUUGGAAACUUCUAGUCUAGAGUUUGGUAGAGAGUCCUGGAACUCCAUGUGGAGCGGUGAAAUGCGUAGAUAUAUGGAAGAA